rnacentral:rRNA from 1 species
UACAUGGGGUGCAAACGUUGCUCGGAAUUAUUGGGCGUAAAGCGCACGUAGGCGGUUUGUUAAGUCGGAUGUGAAAUCCCUCGGCUCAACUGAGGAAGUGCAUCCGAAACUGGCAGGCUUGAGUACUAAAGAGGGUCGCGGAAUUCCCGGUGUAGAGGUGAAAAUUCGUAGAUAUCGGGAGGAACACCGGUGGCGAAGGCGGCGACCUGGGGUAGAUACUGACGCUGAGGCACGAAAAGCGUGGGGGAGCAAACAGG